AAUGAAUGAUACCUUUGGCAAACGCCCAGAUGUUAAAGAAAUCCUUCCUAUGGAAUCGGGCACAUUUCUUUUUUUUCUCGCCCGUUGAUCCUUCGGCCAACAUUUAUUCGUUCGCAUGUUUAUUUGUCGGUGGUCAAAGCGAGACGACCAGGCUGAGCAUGAGGGAGGGGCCAAAUGCAUCAUCAGUCUCGAGUCCCCUUGUGUCCUCAAGAGAACUAAAUCCAGCCCACCUUGAAUUCCAUUGACUCUUAUCUACCACCAAUUUGCUUUGACCGUUAGUAGUUCAGAUUCUUGUAGGGAGCUUAAGCUUUCAAUAAAUCGUUUGAACUGCCUG